CUAGCACUACUAACAAGUGUUUUAAAAAAAUAAUAAUAAAAACCUUUUGAUGAAAAAUUGGAGAACUCAAAGUUCAACAUAUGAGGAACUCACAGUAGUGAAGCAUACAAAGUUAUCAUUACUCUUUCACUUCUUUUCCUUUUGCCUUUUAUGCUUGGGAGAUGAAAGAGAGGAAUUGGACGAAAUUUGCCGGACAUGCUCUCUUUUAACGACCUCAAAACAGCUUUUGAAGCACUUUUUUUGGUUUGUGCCUUAUUUGGACCAGUGCAUGACUCUGUGUGUAUGAAGUCAUUGGCUUCAACCUCAACUGUAGCAGUUGCUGUAGACUUGUCAGUUGACACAACAGGCUCUUUCCAACACACGUAGUUCUCUUUUUGGCACAACUGUUGCAAUUCUCUCACUGGUUGAAACUUGAUCGUCUCAAGAGAAACCAAGGUUUUCAAAAGCGGCCUUAUGCUCUCGGAUUAUUACAAUAUCUUUUUCAUAUCCGGAAUCUACUAAUAUUGCCUUAGCUAGAGAUUUUAUUACAUCUCCAAGAUCCUUUACCACAUGCCCAACAAAAUCAAAUGAAUGCGGGAAUCACCAUCUUAAAUGCUUCUAUCCAUAGGAUUUGAAAAAAUAGGCUUUUAUCUGCAAAGCUUUAAUUCAUGCCAAAAAUGUAAGUCCAUUAUAAUCAAUAAUUCUAAAUUAAUUCAUGCCAAAAAAUUUGUUGAACCUGUAAGACAUUGUGCUUCGAUGAUUUUGGCUAUAAUUUAAAAAUAUUAUGUUAUUAAUAUUUUAGAUUGUUAUAAAUAGAAUACAUCACUUCAAUAUGGUAGUAAAUGAUGUCUAAUCUUCCCACAAAUUUCUUAAAGGCAUGUAGAGGUUUGACAAUUAUAGUCAGUCAUAACAGCUUGGCUAUAAUUAUAGAUAAGGGGAGAGUAUGGUUGGAGUGUGAUAUUUUGAACUGAUUAUCAAUUUUUUUUUUAUCUGUGCUAUGCCAACUCACUUUUUAACAAAGGGUUUUAAUGAUUGGAAUUUGACGCGGGUUGUCAUAUGCAUAUGGCCUUUAUGGGGCAUCCUGGUUUUGCCGGAGACCCUCCUCCAUCUUGUGAGAGGACUGAACCAACUUGGCGAACGGUGCAAGCAGGAUGAAGUAGUGUUUUCCGUUGCGCGAUAAACAUAUGGCUUCUUUUACAAUCAAGGUCAAGUAAGAGGUGUCAUGCAAACUCAUCCGUGCUUCCGGUAAAGUUGUUGCCAAGAGGCCGGUUAAGAAAGCUUUUCUCAAGUAAUUAAAUGAGAGCAUGUUGAACAUGCCACAACUUGUCCCUGCCAAAAGAGGGCAUGUGAAGCAGAUAGAAGAAAAAGAAGAUAUUCUGAUAAAUUUUAUUAAUUGACUUCCCACUAGAAGUGGUGCUUUAUGCAUAGAAGGCCAUAGUGAUUUAUUCUUUGUAGGAAGAUUACUUGGUAGAAGUUUGGAAAUAAAUUUUACCGGCUCUUAGUUGAGUUACGUUUGUUAACGAGACAGUGUCUUCCGUCAUAUAAAAUUGUUAGCUGAAAUUAGUUAAAUGUUAUUAUAAAAAGUUCAAAUCUAGAUGAAGUUUGAUACUUUACACUUUUGUAUAAUGCACAACUCACAAUUAUAUUUUAUUAUUUUAUUUAUGUGGAGUCUAAGUCCAUUAAACUUUGAGCACUAUGAAUCCUAGUUCACAUGAUCCAAGCACAUUUUUAAUGUUAGAGUUGCCAUAAAACCAAUAUAUAGUGUAAUAUAAUAGUCCAACAUCAUUGCCAUAACAUUUAUAGCCAACAUCGUAGGAGAUGCUCUAAACUAGUAAUAUUUAUUUGGGAAAUGAAAUGUAUACUUCACAUUAAAAAAUAUUAUACUACACAUACAAGCGUUGCUUACAAUAUUUUAGCAAGUGAAGUGUUUCUUAUUUCUCUUUUGCAGCAUCUUGAGUUUCUUGGAAAUUCUGUACCGGAUUAUAUCAGAACCAUGCAUCUGUACCAUAAAUACCCAGGAAUAUCACCUGGAUUGCUAACUGAUCUGAGAUCAGCUUCUGUAAACAAUGAUUUUUACUCUUUAUGUGCGAUUAGGGCCGGAUUGCAGAAGCACAUUCUUCAUGCUUCCCAAAAACUUCACAGGCAAUUGGAGUCCUCUCUUCAGAAAUUAGAUCCAUUAUUAAUGGAACAAUAUUUGGAUGGGAUUCAGAAAAUUCUCUUCCCAAGGUCAGUGUUCGAAGCUUGAUGUAAUUAUUUAUUUCCAUGUAAACUUCUCCUAACAACAUGUUUUUUGAAAAAAAAAAGAGAGAAAGGAAUGUUAUCUCAUAAAAACUAAAAUUAUAUAUAUUGGAUAAUAAGUAAUUUAUUGAUUAUAAUGGACUUACUUUUUUGGCAUGAAUUAAAUCUUUAUAGAUAAAUACCUACAUUUGCACUUCCUAUGGAUUUAAGCAUUUAAGAUAGUGAUUCCCGCAUUCAUUUGAUUUUGUUGUGCCUGUGGUACACGUUCUUAGAGAUCUAUUAGAAUCUUUAGCAAGGGAGAUAGUAGUUGAUUCCGGAUAUAGAAAAGAUAUUGUAUUCGAGAGCAUAAGGCCGCUUUUGAAACCCUUGGUUUCUCUUGAGACGAUCAAGUUUUAACCAGUGAGAGAAUUGCAACAGUUGUGCCAAAAAGAGAACUACGUGUUAAAAAGAGCCUGUUGUGUCAACUGACAAUUCUACAGCAACUGUUAUAGCUGAGGUUGAAGCCAAUGACGUCAUAUAUAAAGAGUCAUGCACUGGUCCAAAUAAGGCAGGAGCCAAGAAACGUGCUUCAAAAAGCUGUUUUCAGGUCGUUAAAAGAGAGUAUAUCCACCAAAUUUCACCUACUUCCGCUCCUCUCAUCUCCCAAGCGUAAUAGGCAAAAGGAAGAGAAUUGAAAGUGUGAUGAUAACUUUGUAUGCUUCACUACUAUGAGUCCCUCGUAUGCUGAACUUUGAGUUUUCCGAUCUUUCAUUAAAAGGAUUUUAUUAUAUUUUUUUUAAAACACAUGGUACUAGUGUUGAGAUAAGAAUUGUUGAAAAUGACAAUCUUAGGGGAUGUAAAUUGUAUAGAUUAAGAGUAAAAUAUUUUUAAAGAAUUCUCAUCCCUAAGAUCUUUGAUUUUAAAGAUCUUUCUAUCUUUAAAAAUAUUUUACUCUUAAUCUAUACAAUUUACAUACCCUAAGAUUGUCAUUUUCAACAAUUCUCAUCCUAGCACUACUAACAAGUGUUUUAAAAAAAUAAUAAUAAAAACCUUUUGAUGAAAAAUUGGAGAACUCAAAGUUCAGCAUAUGAGGAACUCACAGUAGUGAAGCAUACAAAGUUAUCAUUACUCUUUCACUUCUCUUCCUUUUGCCUUUUAUGCUUGGGAGAUGAAAGAGGAAUUGGACGAAAUUUGCCGGACAUGCUCUCUUUUAACGACCUCAAAACAGCUUUUGAAGCACUUUUUUUGGUUUGUGCCUUAUUUGGACCAGUGCAUG
rnacentral:lncRNA from 1 species